rnacentral:rRNA from 1 species
AGUGAACGCUGGCGGUAGGCCUAACACAUGCAAGUCGAACGGCAGCACAGUAAGAGCUUGCUCUUACGGGUGGCGAGUGGCGGACGGGUGAGGAAUACAUCGGAAUCUACUUUUUCGUGGGGGAUAAUGUAGGGAAACUUACGCUAAUACCGCAUACGACCUACGGGUGAAAGCAGGGGAUCUUCGGACCUUGCGCGAUUGAAUGAGCCGAUGUCGGAUUAGCUAGUUGGCGGGGUAAAGGCCCACCAAGGCGACGAUCCGUAGCUGGUCUGAGAGGAUGAUCAGCCACACUGGAACUGAGACACGGUCCAGACUCCUACGGGAGGCGGCAGUGGGGAAUAUUGGACAAUGGGCGCAAGCCUGAACCAGCCAUACCGCGUGGGUGAAGAAGGCCUUCGGGUUGUAAAGCCCUUUUGUUGGGAAAGAAAAGCAGCAGGUUAAUACCCCGCUGUUCUGACGGUACCCAAAGAAUAAGCACCGGCUAACUUCGUG